ensembl:snRNA U2 U2 spliceosomal RNA
AUCGCUUCUCGGCCUUUUGGCUAAGAUCAAGUGUAGUAUCUGUUCUUAUCAGUUUAAUAUCUGAUAUGUCCUCUGUACGAGGACAAACAUAUUAAAGUGAUUUUUAGAGCUGGGAGCUGAAAAAGGGGCUUGCUCCGUUCGCUCCACGCAUCGUCCUGGCAUUGCAGUGCCGCCGGGUACGGUGCAACCUUC